rnacentral:lncRNA from 1 species
ACAUGGCAUCUGGCUUCAUCAGAGUGAGCAAGAGAGAGGGCAAACAUGAUAGGAAACCUACAUCUCCGUGUAAACUAAUCUUGGAAGUGGUGUCCCCUCACUUUUGUCAUGUUUUAUUCAUAAGCAGCAAAUCACUGGGUUCUACCUCAUACAUAAGGAGAGUUCAUUCAGCAAGGACAUGCAUACCAAGAGAUGCAGAGCACUAUGAUAUAUUUUGGCUGUUGUCUCUUUCUCCAGGAUUGUGGGCAGUGACCUCACAGCUUGCUGAUCAUGAAUCAAGAAUUAACCCUGAAGAAAAUGUAUGGGGAGAAUGUGGCCUCAAACUGAUUCAGAGAAGAGUUAAAAAGAGGAAAUGGACAGCAAACACUCUUCCAGAUUGAAGAAAAAGCAUCCAGGGACUUCCUUUUACAAACCAGAUGGCAGCCUCCAGCUGGCUGCCUUAGAGAUAUUGAAAUUGGAAGACCCAAUAUCUGAGCAGACACGCCCACUUAUAG